UACAGAGGUCUCAAGCGUUGUUCGGAUUCAUUGGGCGUAAAGGGCGCGUAGGCGGCGGGGUCAGUCGGGUGUGAAAUCUUGGGGCUUAACCCCGAAACGGCACUCGAAACUGCCCGGCUGGAGGGCCGGAGAGGAGAUCGGAAUUCACGGUGUAGCAGUGAAAUGCGUGGAUAUCGAUAGGAACACUCGUGGCGAAGGCGAGCUACUGGACAACAUCUGACGCUGAGGCUCGAAGGCUAGGGGAGCAAAAGGG
rnacentral:rRNA from 1 species